AUGAUCUCUUCAUUCAACAACAACCAUCAGAGUCACGACGGAAAAAUUAAUCUUGACUGCAGUUUCAGAUUUCACACAGAUGAUGUUACCCGUGGUGGAGCGAUACGAGGCUGGUUGUGGGUGGCGCGAUCGGAGUCUGCACAGUCAAGGAUGCGUGGCAGUUCUGCAGCCCGGAUGGAUCUCGUCGGAACCGAGUCUUUCACGAUAAUUUUUCUUCCUCUUUUUGUUCAGAAUUUUGUGAUUUCUAUUUAUUGGUUGUUGCUCUGCAAUGAGAAAAAAAAGAAACAAAAUAGAAUAUUGUUGUUAUUGAAAAUCAUUCUUCUCUUUUCUACCGGAUUUAAAAUUAUUGUGUUUUGA